AGUGAAAGAUCUUGAGCUCUAAAAUUCUCCGGUCCAUUCCACAACCUUUUGCUCUUUGAUAGACUAUUUUUGCUAAUACUUUAAUUACAUCACAAAUCUUUCAAGGUGGAGAUUCCCUCCAAAGAGUUUCUCUCUCGGGCUUUUGGACGGUGGAAAGGUGGCUGGCGGCAGCUUGCUAAGCAUGUAGGCAUCUUGGAGUGGCGGCUGCUAUUGUCCGGGUUUAGCGGUGUGUUUUCCUUGAUGCCAUACUGGAGGAAGCCUAGUAUCCUAGUUCGGAUGGGUUCUAACAGACUACUAAAAUUAACUCUUCAAAGAUCAUCACAUAUUUAUGGAACCUUUUUUUUUUAAGACUUUGUCUUCUUUAAUCUAUCUGCAGUAUUUUGCAGUUUGAUUAAAAUUUGGAAACAUUUAUCAAGU